rnacentral:rRNA from 1 species
CAGCCUUAAAGCUUCCUCAAUACCCCCAAAUAACCCCCAGGCUUUAGAGCAAUUCAAAUAGGGUACAGCCUAUUUGAAAAAGGAUACAACCUGCACUAACGGGUAAUCUUCAUUUACACAACUUAGUUGGCCUAAGAGCAGCCACCAUCAAAAAGCGUCAAAGCUUAAUUUCUCCACCCCCUAAAUUCCAUAACCCAUAUCAAACCCUUACACAAUAUUGAGUACUUCUAUGCCUACAUAGAAAAUUUUAUGUUAAAACUAGUAAUAAGAAGCUUGCCUUCUCCCAAUGCAAAUGUAAGUCAGGCAGAAACCCGCACUGACAUUCAACGACCCCGAGUAGUAACCUUGCAAGAAAAUCCUACCCCCCCCCCCGUUAACCUAACACAAGAGCAUUUAAAGAAAGAUUAAAAGAAAGAGAAGGAACUCGGCAAACACUAAUCCCGCCUGUUUACCAAAAACAUCGCCACUUGCACCCUAUAAGAGGUCCAGCCUGCCCAGUGACUCUGUUCAACGGCCGCGGUAUCCUGACCGCGCGAAGGUAGCGUAAUCACUUGUCUUUUAAAUGAAGACUAGUAUGAAAGGCACCACGAGGAUUAAGCUGUCUCCUCUUUCCAAUCAAUGAAACUAAUCUCCCCGUGAAGAAGCGGGGAUUACUACAUCAGACGAGAAGACCCUAUGGAGCUUCAAACAAACAACACCUGUUACGCCACUACCCCCUCCCCGGGCCUCACCCAGUAACACCUUGUCUGUAAGUUUUGGGUUGGGGCGACCACGGAGAACAAAAUAUCCUCCAUGCUGAAACAGACUACUCCUAAAUAAAAAGUCACAUCUUUUUAAAUCAAUAAAUUGACAUCUAUUGACCCAGCACUCUGAUCAACGAACCAAGUUACCCUAGGGAUAACAGCGCAAUCUACUUCAAGAGUCCCUAUCGACAAGUAGGCUUACGACCUCGAUGUUGGAUCAGGGGAUCCUAGUGGUGCAGCAGCUACUAAAGGUUCGUUUGUUCAACGAUUAAACCCCUACGUGAUCUGAGUUCAGACCGGAGAAAUCCAGGUCGGUUUCUAUCUAUGAAGAGCUCAUUCCAGUACGAAAGGACCAAAUCAGCAUGGCCUCUGAAUUCUUUAAGCCAUAGUUAACUAUUUUUGACCCCCACUCAAUAAAUUAUAACCUU